GUGGCAGAAAUUUGAUACUGAUGACUAAAUUUGCUGUCAUGCUUCAUUAUUUUUAAUAGUGAAACCAAUGAGAGAGCUAUGCUUUAGACACUAAUUACUACCUUAGAAAUAUGAACCUCCAUGAGAUUAUAUGGGGAUAUCAUGUUAAAGUACUCCCAAUAAAAUAAAAAGCAAAGCUCAGAGAUGCAGGGAAGAGACAGACUGAGUGAAACAAGGUGCCAGCCAGACACUGGGCUAGAUGCUUCCCAGACCUUAUGUCAUUGAAUAUUAUGGUUAGAUAGGAAAUUUUUUAAGUUGUGGAGGUUAUCUUUUACUAAGUCAGACUAACUCUUGAUUCAAAUGUUCAUAAUGCAAAGAUCAUUUGCUCUGCCCUAUGCUUCUCUUGCACAUGGUUUUCCUUUUUUUAAAAGUCCUGUUUCUUGAAUCAUCACCUGCCUUGGGCUUGGUGUGGUAGUUUCUGAAUGACUGGGUUAGCACGUCAGUUCACCUUUCAAAAUAUUUCCAGGGCAGGCCACUCAUUCAGCAUCCCAGGUGCCUAAUGAAUUGUGUUCCUCUCCCCAGCCCACUGAGCAAGAUUUCAAAGCCUCCUUUAUCUCUCUGGGUGGAUACAGAGUCAUUAAGCUUAAAUAUGCCCUGUGCCAAUAGACUUGAGGGUUGGGUUUAGUUAUUAUUAACUUGGGGAGCCUCCACCCAGCUAACUAUUCUAGGAAAUAACUGGAUGACUCAGGUGCUUUUAUAUUCAUCUUUCAGCAAACCAGUCAUCUUCCCUGAGCACUGUGGCUGGAGGUGAAUGUCCCAGCAAGUUUGCCAUCAUGUCUCCAUCACUACACAAACUCCGUGGCUAACAAACGAGAAGCUUUGCAGAGGCUGAGAGCUAUUAUCAUAAAGCACAGAGUGGCACCUUCACUUAGGGAGUGUGGACGUGGGAUUUAGAAGUGAAAGGAUGAUGAAGUGGGACUGAAACCUGAGUUCGAUCUCACCUGGAAGAAAAACAGCACUGAGAGCAUCUGCCCGUCUUUCCACUCAAAGACUAGCCUCCCUGGUGUGAUUUCCUUAAAGCAGCCUGUGGUGUGACAGCGCCAAGUGAGACAACUCCGGUGACGCCCUCCCCUCCAGCCAGGCGCACACCUGAUUCACAGACGCUGGAGGGAGGAAGAGGGAAGAGGAUUUCAGAAGCACAGCCAGCUGGGCCCCUCCCCUACCUCCUAAAAGCAAAUAUAGUUAGUCCUCAUCUACUUGGGAGCUGAGCAGGCUCUUAAUUCAGAAAACACCAUGACCAGCACUUAAUUUCCUAAGUGUAAGGACAUAAGGGAUAUAUCAUCUUCUGGAUGAAAAAAUUCUCCUGAAAUAAAAUAAGAGUUAAUAUUUUUUAGGGGGAGGGUAUAGUUCACUGGUAGAGCACGUGCUUAGCAUACAUGAGGUCCUGGGUUCAAUCCCCAGUACUUCCAUUAAAAUAAACAAAUAAACAAACCUAAUUAUCCACCCCCAUAAAAACAAAACAAAAACGAAUGAGCUAAUUUUGUAUUAAAUACUUAUUAUUUGUAUUAAAUACUUAUUUUUUUUAUUAAACACAGUGCAGUAGGUGCUAAGGCCAGCACCUUACCUGCUUUUGCCUAUGACAAAGUUCACAACAUCUGCAAAAAAUUUCAUUAUUUCACUAUUUUAUAGAUGAAGAAACUUAGGACAGCAGCUUGCCCAGAGUUUCACAGCUGAGCCAAAAUUUAAAGCAAAAUUUUGUGUGUUUGUUUUUAAGAGCCAGAACUAUUGACAAGUAUAUCACAUUACCUAUGGAGUAACCAAUUCAGUAAAACGAAUAUGACUAGCAUGGAGCCUGCCUGCCUAACCUUACAAUUAGUUUGUAUUGUAUACAUAAUAACUUAUUUUGGCAUAAAAAUUUUUACCACAUUUUAAAAAAA